CCUACGGGAGGCAGCAGUGAGGAAUAUUGGUCAAUGGGCGGGAGCCUGAACCAGCCAAGUCGCGUGAGGGAAGACGGUCCUAUGGAUUGUAAACCUCUUUUAUAUGGGAAUAAAACAGGGUAUGCAUACCCUCUUGUAUGUACCAUAUGAAUAAUGAUCGGCUAACUCCGUGCCAGCAGCCGCGGUAAUACGGAGGAUCCGAGCGUUAUCCGGAUUUAUUGGGUUUAAAGGGAGCGUAGGUGGGUUGUUAAGUCAGUUGUGAAAGUUUGCGGCUCAACCGUAAAAUUGCAGUUGAAACUGGCAGUCUUGAGUACAGUAGAGGUGGGCGGAAUUCGUGGUGUAGCGGUGAAAUGCUUAGAUAUCACGAAGAACUCCGAUUGCGAAGGCAGCUUACUGGACUGCAACUGACACUGAUGCUCGAAAGUGUGGGUAUCAAACAGGAUUAGAUACCCGAGUAGUC
rnacentral:rRNA from 1 species